CUGAGAGCUUCAGGGAGGAGCUGAGCUGUUACUGAACUAUAGAAGAGACACAAACUUCCACAUUCAACACAGUUCAAACAUUAACUCUGAUCAUCAUGCUGUCUUUGCUCACAUCUGGAUUUACUCUGCUGGUUCUGCUUAUAGGAACAGGUGUAAACUGUCAGCAACUCACUGCAGCAAAGACUGAAGAGUUCAGUCUAGAAGGCAGCUCUGUUACUCUGUCCUACAGUUACUCCAGCAAGAUAACUGCUGGUGUUGAUUUCUUCUGGUAUCGACAAUAUCCAGGAAAACCUCCAGAGUUCAUCAUGUACAUCUCAGGGCUCAACAGUUCAAGAUCAGCAGAUAAUCUGAAAUCAGCAUCAAGAUUCUCCACUAAACUGAGAGAAGAGAAACACCUGGACCUGCUGAUCUCCUCUGCUGAGCUGACAGACUCUGCUGUGUACUACUGUGCUGUGAAGCCCACAGUGACAGGAAACACCAGAACUCUGUACAAGAACCUGCAAUACUCCACCACAUCCACUAGAGGGCCUCACACACUGCAUUAUACUGACAAUUAUCUGUCUCCACUUGAGUCUGAGAGCAUUUAUAGGAGCAGAUAUGAUCUGAUCGUGUGGAUCUAAAACAGAAAGAUGGAGAACUUUCCAAAUAUCCUCUCUCCUUAGCCUGAGACAUCAGGACACUGUGUCCCCCAAAGUUUAGAGGAUAUCCUUUGUCCAACCUGUCUCAGUGUAAAGAACUUAAGCAGUUUGUCAGUGAGUUCUAUAGAACUCUGUUAUGGACCCAAAUAAAACAGGUGAGCGGAGCAGCUGGACAUCUGGAACUCUGAACUAUCAUUGAACGUUCAAGAAACAUUCACUGAACGUCAGAAUAAAACAGUACGUUAUGUUCAGGGAGCGCUCUCUGUGGACAUUCAGAGGACAUUCAGUGGUCAGUCAGUAGAUGUCCAGUGGACAGUUAGUGGACAUUCUUUGCAGAAUGACAACAUGUCAGCAAUGUUUACUAAACUCUCCUGAGAACAUUCGCCCUCAGUUUUCCACUAAGGUUGAUCCAAACUUGGAAUAAAUGUUAAAAUGAUUUCCAG